CUACGGGGGGCAGCAGUGGGGGAUAUUGCACAAUGGGCGAAAGCCUGAUGCAGCAACGCCGCGUGAAGGAAGACGGAUUUCGGUCUGUAAACUUCUAUCAGCUGGGAAGAAAAUGACGGUACCAGACUAAGAAGCCCCGGCUAACUACGUGCCAGCAGCCGCGGUAAUACGUAGGGGGCAAGCGUUAUCCGGAUUUACUGGGUGUAAAGGGUACGUAGGCGGUCGCUUAAGUCAGAUGUGAAAGCCCGAAGCUCAACUUCGGGACUGCAUUUGAAACUGGGUGACUAGAGUACAGGAGAGGAAAGCGGAAUUCCUAGUGUAGCGGUGAAAUGCGUAGAUAUUAGGAAGAACACCAGUGGCGAAGGCGGCUUUCUGGACUGUAACUGACGCCGAGGUACGAAAGCGUGGGGAGCGAACAGGAUUAGAUACCCGUGUAGUC
rnacentral:rRNA from 1 species